AUGGACAUGGACAUGGAGCUGCCAUACUACUCGUACCACUUGGGCCUAUGCAUCUUGUUGGCUGUCCUCUACCAUGCCGUCCUAAACGUUGCCGCGGCCAGGCGUCCCCGCCCGAAGCUGCCUCCCGGUCCGUGGCAGCUUCCCAUCAUCGGCAGCCUGCACCACCUGUUGCGCGGGCUCCCGCACCACAUCAUGCGCGACCUCUCCCUCCGCCAUGGCCCGCUGAUGCUGCUCCGCGUGUGCGAGCGGGAGGCCAUCGUCGUCUCCUCCGCCGAGGCCGCGAGGGAGAUCUACAAGGGUAACGAGGCCGCCUUCUCGACGCGGCUAAGCAGCCCGGGCAUCGACGAGCUCUCGAGGCACGGCCAGGGGAUCGUCUUCGCGCCCUACGGCGACCACUGGCGGCUUCUCCGCCGGAUCCUCGUGAUGGAGCUGCUCAGCGCGCGGCGCGUCGAGGCGUUCCGACGGAUCCGCGAGGAGGAGGCGGCGCGCCUGCUCUCGUCGCUUCAGGCUGAGGCGACGUCCGACGGUCGACUCGUCGACAUCGGCCAGCGGCUGGAAGAGUUCGUGACAGACUCGGUGGUGCGUGCCAUCUUUGGGGACAGGCUGCCCGAUAGGGCCACGUUUCUGAGGAUCGUCAAGCAAGGAGUGGACCUGUCGUCGAUUUUUGAUCUUCGGGACCUCUUCCCUUCGUCGUGGCUAGUUCGACUCGUGCGCCGCUGCGGCGGCAAGGCGGAGCGGCAGCGUCAGGAGGUGUUGAGCGUUAUGGACAGCAUCCUCAAGAGUCACGAGGAGAGGAGGGCAGCCAGAGAUGGAGAUGAGGAGCACGAGCAGGACAUGGUCCAAGUGUUACUCAGGAUCCAAAAAGAUGCCAAUACGCCAGUUUCCCUGACCGACGGAGUCAUAAGGACACUCCUCAUAGAAGUCUUUGGUGCAGCACUUGACACCACAGCUACUACUCUACAAUGGGCGAUGGCUGAACUAAUGGCGAACCCAAGGGUGAUGCGGCGCGUGCAGUCCGAGGCAGAUUGUGCUCUCGCAGGACAGGCUACAGUACAAGAGGCCGCACUAAAGAGCAUGCAAUACCUCAGGGCAGUUAUUAAAGAGACCUUGCGACUACACCCUCCUGCCACGCUCUUGGCUAGAGUGUGUGUGGGAGACUGCAAGAUUCAAGGAUAUGAUGUAACACGAGGAAUGAUUGUGCUUACCAACACAUGGGCAAUCUCUAGGGACCCCAAGUAUUGGGAUGAGCCAGACAAGUUCAUGCCAGAGAGGUUCGAAGGCGAGGGUGUUGCCGACUUGAGAGGCAUGGACUUCGAGUUCACUCCUUUCGGUGUUGGGCGGCGGAUUUGCCCUGGGAUUGAUUUUGCGUAUGCAAACCUUGAGAUUGCUUUGGCUAGCCUUCUUUACCAUUUUAACUGGGAGCUGCCACUCGGAGUUGAACCAGGUGAAGUAGACAUGACAGAGAAGUUCGGAGUCACUGCUCGAAGGAAGGUCAACCUAUUUGUGCGUCCAAUUAUUCGUGUUCCCCUUAGAUGA
rnacentral:rRNA from 1 species